CCGACGCAGAGCUCCGCGGACGACAUCCGAGUGCGCGCGGAUUACCACGGCGGCCGGUUCCUCACGCUCACGUCCAUGAUCGGGGGGGCGAGCAGACCCGGCGAAGUUGGAAAAACCUGGUGGAAGCUGGAGGCGUCGGCUCCCCAGCAUCACCGGAAGAACUGGAAGGUGAUGCUGUGGGUGGUGGCGUCAUUGCUGAUACUAGUGGAAGACGUGUUUUCUGAAGAGGACAAUAAAAAGGGUCAAUCAGACCUCCGUCGUGUCCUCGGGCAGCCCUCCUCGUCCUCUGCUGAGGAUCUUG
ensembl:lncRNA